rnacentral:rRNA from 1 species
AUUGAACGCUGGCGGCAGGCCUAACACAUGCAAGUCGAACGGUAACAGGGAUCAGCUUGCUGAUUCGCUGACGAGUGGCGGACGGGUGAGUAAUGUCUGGGAAACUGCCUGAUGGAGGGGGAUAACUACUGGAAACGGUAGCUAAUACCGCAUAACGUCGCAAGACCAAAGAGGGGGACCUUCGGGCCUCUUGCCAUCGGAUGUGCCCAGAUGGGAUUAGCUAGUAGGUGGGGUAACGGCUCACCUAGGCGACGAUCCCUAGCUGGUCUGAGAGGAUGACCAGCCACACUGGAACUGAGACACGGUCCAGACCCCUACGGGAGGCAGCAGUGGGGAAUAUUGCACAAUGGGCGCAAGCCUGAUGCAGCCAUGCCGCGUGUAUGAAGAAGGCCUUCGGGUUGUAAAGUACUUUCAGCGGGGAGGAAGGGAGUAAAGUUAAUACCUUUGCUCAUUGACGUUACCCGCAGAAGAAGCACCGGCUAACUCCGUG